GGCAUAUACAACCUUCUGAGCUCCGGAGCCUACCUAGCAGCUUACCCAUUGCAUGACGGCCCUUUCGGCAAAGGACGUUUCAACAGGGCCAAGGAGACCUACUCGGAGCGCAGGGUCCUGUACGCCGAGUGGGGACGAGCCCGUUGCUGGUACAAGGAGCAGCCACUGUUUCUCAUUAGGUGGGCUUUGCUGUACUCGAGGGCGAUUGAUCAAGCACGCAUAGAGAAAUCUCC
rnacentral:lncRNA from 1 species